GGGAGCGGAGAUAGUGAGUGGGACAGAAAGAGAGUGGGGGAGGAGGGAGCGGAGAUAGUGAGUGGGACAGAAAGAGAUGGGGGGGAGGAGGGAGCGGAGAUAGUGAGUGGGACAGAAAGAGAGUGGGGGAGGAGGGAGCAGAGAUAGUGAGUGGGACAGAAAGAGAGUGGGGAGGAGGGAGCGGAGAUAGUGAGUGGGACAGAAAGAGAGUGGGGGGAGGAGGGAGCGGAGAUAGUGAGUGGGACAGAAAGAGAAGUGGGGGAGGAGGGAGCGGAGAUAGUGAGUGGGACAGAAAGAGAGUGGGGGGAGGAGGGAGCGGAGAUAGUGAGUGGGACAGAAAGAGAGUGGGGGGAGGAGGGAGCGGAGAUAGUGAGUGGGACAGAAAGAGCGAGAGAGCGAGAGAGUGGGGGGAGGAGGGAGCGGAGAUAGUGAGUAGGACAGAAAGAGCGAGAGAGCGAGAGAGUGGGAGGAGAAGGGAGCGAGAGUCGGGGGAGGAGGGAGCGGAGAUAGUGAGUGGGACAGAAAGAGCGAGAGAGCGAGAGAGUGGGGGGAGGAGGGAGCGAGAGUCGGGGGAGGAGGGAGCGGAGAUAGUGAGUGGGACAGAAAGAGCGAGAGAGAGAGAGAGAGUGGGGGGAGGAGGGAGCGAGAGUCGGGGGAGGAGGGAGCGGAGAUAGUGAGUGGGACAGAA